AGAGUUUGAUUCUGGCUCAGAACGAACGCUGGCAGCGUGGAUUAGGCAUGCAAGUCGAACGUGAAGCUGUUGAUCAAUUCUUCGGAAGAGUGAAGCAGUGGAAAGUGGCGGAAGGGUGAGUAACGCGUGGGUAACCUACCCCAGAGUUGGGGACAACCCUUGGAAACGAGGGCUAAUACCGAAUGUGGUGUCCCGGGGCAUCUCGGGAUUACUAAAGGCGGGGAUUCUUCGGAACCUGUCGCUCAGGGAGGGGCCCGCGUCCCAUCAGCUUGUUGGUAGGGUAACGGCCUACCAAGGCUUACGGGUAGCUGGUCUGAGAGGAUGGUCAGCCACACUGGGACUGAGACACUGCCCAGACUCCUACGGGAGGCUGCAGUCGAGGAUCAUUCGCAAUGCGCGAAAGCGUGACGAUGCGACGCUGCGUGGAGGAUGACAGCCUUAGGGUUGUAAACUCCUGUCAUGAGGGAAGAACCACUCCGUGACCAAUAAUCACGGGGUCUGACGGUACCUCAAGAGGAAGCCACGGCUAACUCUGUGCCAGCAGCCGCGGUAAUACAGAGGUGGCGAGCGUUGUUCGGAUUUACUGGGCGUAAAGCGUGCGUAGGCGGUUUUGUAUGUCGGAUGUGAAAUCCCGAGGCUCAACUUCGGAACUGCAUCCGAAACUGCAGGACUUGAGUGCAGGAGGGGAGAGCGGAUUUCUUGGUGUAGCGGUGAAAUGCGUUGAUAUCAAGAAGAACACCGGUGGCGAAGGCGGCUCUCUGGAAUGUUACUGACGCUGAGGCACGAAAGCUGGGGGAGCAAACAGGAUUAGAUACCCUGGUAGUCCCAGCCGUAAACGUUGCGCACUUGGUGUUGGAGGAAUUGACCCCUUCAGUGCCGGAGCUAACGCAUUAAGUGCGCCGCCUGGGGAGUACGGUCGCAAGAUUAAAACUCAAAGAAAUUGACGGGGGCCCGCACAAGCGGAGGAGCAUGUGGCUUAAUUCGAUGCAACGCGAAGAACCUUACCAGGGCUUGACAUGGUACUGCACGCCCGCCGAAAGGUGGGAAGCUUUCGAAGGUGUAUCACAGGUGCUGCAUGGCUGUCGUCAGUUCGUGCCGUGAGGUGUUGGGUUAAGUCCCGCAACGAACGCAACCCUUAUCUUUAGUUACCAGCAAUUCGGUUGGGGACUCUAGAGAUACUGCCCCGGUUAACGGGGAGGAAGGUGGGGAUGACGUCAAGUCCUCAU
rnacentral:rRNA from 1 species